rnacentral:rRNA from 1 species
ACGAACGCUGGCGGCGUGCCUAAUACAUGCAAGUCGAGCGAUUGGUGCUUGCACCAGAGCGGCGGACGGGUGAGUAACACGUGGGUAACCUGCCCAAGAGACUGGGAUAACACCUGGAAACAGAUGCUAAUACCGGAUAACAACACUGACGCAUGUCUAGAGUUAAAAGAUGUUCUUAUCACUCUUGGAUGGACCUGCGGUGCAUUAGCUAGUUGGUAAGGUAACGGCUUACCAAGGCAAUGAUGCAUAGCCGAGUUGAGAGACUGAUCGGCCACAUUGGGACUGAGACACGGCCCAAACUCCUACGGGAGGCAGCAGUAGGGAAUCUUCCACAAUGGACGCAAGUCUGAUGGAGCAACGCCGCGUGAGUGAAGAAGGGUUUCGGCUCGUAAAGCUCUGUUGGUAGUGAAGAAAGAUAGAGGUGUAAGCCUUUAUUUGACGGUAAUUACUUAGAAAGUCACGGCUAACUACGUGCCAGCAGCCGCGGUAAUACGUAGGUGGCAAGCGUUGUCCGGAUUUAUUGGCGUAAAGCGAGUGCAGGCGGUUCAAUAAGUCUGAUGUGAAAGCCUUCGGCUCAACCGGAGAAUUGCAUCAGAAACUGUUGAACUUGAGUGCAGAAGAGGAGAGUGGAACUCCAUGUGUAGCGGUGGAAUGCGUAGAUAUAUGGAAGAACACCAGUGGCGAAGGCGGCUCUCUGGUCUGCAACUGACGCUGAGGCUCGAAAGCAUGGGUAGCGAACAGGAUUAGAUACCCUGGUAGUCCAUGCCGUAAACGAUGAGUGCUAAGUGUUGGGAGGUUUCCCCUCUCAGUGCUGCAGCUAACGCAUUAAGCACUCCGCCUGGGGAGUACGACCGCAAGGUUGAAACUCAAAGGAAUUGACGGGGGCCCGCACAAGCGGUGGAGCAUGUGGUUUAAUUCGAAGCAACGCGAAGAACCUUACCAGGUCUUGACAUCCAGUGCAAACCUAAGAGAUUAGGUGUUCCCUUCGGGGACGCUGAGACAGGUGGUGCAUGGCUGUCGUCAGCUCGUGUCGUGAGAUGUUGGGUUAAGUCCCGCAACGAGCGCAACCCUUGUCAUUAGUUGCCAUCAUUAAGUUGGGCACUCUAAUGAGACUGCCGGUGACAAACCGGAGGAAAGUGGGGAUGACGUCAAGUCAUCAUGCCCCUUAUGACCUGGGCUACACACGUGCUACAAUGGACGGUACAACGAGAAGCGAACCUGCGAAGGCAAGCGGAUCUCUGAAAGCCGUUCUCAGUUCGGACUGUAGGCUGCAACUCGCCUACACGAAGCUGGAAUCGCUAGUAAUCGCGGAUCAGCACGCCGCGGUGAAUACGUUCCCGGGCCUUGCACACACCGCCCGUCA